rnacentral:misc_RNA from 1 species
AAGACUAUAGACCUGCGGAGUACCUGCGGAAGGAUCAUUAUUGAAUACAAACCCUGGCCUGGGUUGUGCUGGCCCUUAGGGGCAUGUGCACGCCUUGGUCACCGUUUAUAACCACCUGUGCACCUUUUGUAGACCUUGGAAUUGGGGACUUGCCGUUCGCUGUCUAAGCCGGCUGUCCCUGCUAAACCCUCAAGGUCUAUGCUUUACAUACCCCAAGAAAAGUUAUAGAAUGUUUAUUAU